GCCUUUCUUUAUCUCUCAGAAGUCUGUAUUCUCUUAUGCUAAGAGAAAUGGGAGACAAGCCCAUUGAUACCUGAUAUACCUCCAUAAUAGACUCCCCAUACAAGUCUUUAACCUUGAUUCGUCAAUUUCCUGAUCUUCAGUCUGAGGUAUAAUGAUGCCAGUAACUACUCCCAGUUGCUAUAAAAAUCCUGAGGGAGAGCAUAUCUGUCUUAAAGCCACCUUCUUCAGCUCCUCAGUAAGUGAGAAUCCAUAGAUUAUGAUCCCAGUCUUUUGUCAUUUUGAUCAUUUCCCCAUAGCUUGUGUUUCUUCUCUCAGGUUGUAAGGAAACCAGUGAUUUCUUUCCUCCCGUAAUUGCCCAUUUUUAAUUUAACAUGACCUCUUACAAUCCCUGGAGCAAUGUUUCGAAAUCAGUGGCUUGACUCUCCCUACAGCAGCAAGCAUUCUGUUUCCCACAGCUUUCCUAGUCUUUUCCUGGAAACACUUUUGGCUGAGGCUCUGGGCUUGCUCAAGCAGUCAGGCAAAAUCUGGACUAUUAACAGGAAUCUUUUGGAGGAGAAAGACCAGAUUGACCAGUUGCCAGAAAAUAUGUGCAGAUACCAGGAAUAUUCUCUCCUGCUCCCAGAACCAUGUUUCUCUGUCCAUGGGUGCCGGUGCUGCUCUACCCUCCCCCGUCUUGCUGAAAACAUGAAAGAAAGCUUUACAGCUGAAGAGUGGCUGCUCCAGGUGACAAAAGACAUGGGACCAUAUUUGCUUUGGGAAUAAGAUAUAUGAGAAUACUGCAUGGUAUUGAGACUGAGAAAGAAAAGGUAUGUAGAACUGUUUCUGUUCUGGUUAUUUCUGUAAGCAAUAGGCUAAGGAUGGCCAAAAAUAGAAGGGAGAGAGAGAGGGAGAGAGGGGAGAGAGAGAGAGAGAGAGAGAGAGAGAGAGAGAGAGAGAGAGAGAGAGAGAGAGAGAGAGAGAGAGAGAGAGAGAGAGAGAGAGAGAGAGAGAGAGAGAGACAGAGAGAGAGAGAGAGAGAGAGAGAGAGAGAGAGAGAGAGAGAGAGAGAGAGAGAGAGAUUUACAAUAUAAGCUUGCAGUUCAGUCUAGGACUAUUGGCCCAUAGACAACCAAAAAUACAAGAACAAAUAAACAGUUUAUAAAGAGUUUUAUGUUAUAAUGA
rnacentral:lncRNA from 1 species